AAGUGGUACGCGAGCUGGGUUUAGAACGUCGUGAGACAGUUCGGUCCCUAUCUGCCGUGGGCGUUUGAGAAUUGAGAGGGGUUGCUCCUAGUACGAGAGGACCGGAGUGAACGAACCGCUGGUGUUCGGGUUGUCAUGCCAAUGGCAUUGCCCGGUAGCUACGUUCGGAACUGAUAAGCGCUGAAAGCAUCUAAGCGCGAAGCAGGCCUCGAGAUGAUUUCUCACUAGACUUUUAAAGUCUCUGAAGGGCCGUUGAAGACUACAACGUUGAUAGGCAAGAUGUGGAAGUGGUGUGAGCCAUUAAGCUAACUUGUACUAAUUACCCGUGAGGCUUAACCAUACAACGCCAAACGCGUUUUG
rnacentral:rRNA from 1 species